rnacentral:rRNA from 1 species
AUUGAACGCUGGCGGCAGGCCUAACACAUGCAAGUCGAACGAGUGGCGGACGGGUGAGUAAUGUCUGGGAAACUGCCUGAUGGAGGGGGAUAACUACUGGAAACGGUAGCUAAUACCGCAUACCAUCGGAUGUGCCCAGAUGGGAUUAGCUAGUAGGUGGGGUAACGGCUCACCUAGGCGACGAUCCCUAGCUGGUCUGAGAGGAAGAACAGCCCCACUUGAACGUAGACACGGGCCAGGCUCCUACGGGAGGCAGCCGGGGGGAAUAUUUGACAAUGGGCGCAAGCCUGAUGCAGCCAGGGCGCGUGUUUGAAGAAGGCCUUCGGGUUGUAAAGUACUUUCAGCGGGGAGGCGUUACCCGCAGAAGAAGCACCGGCUAACUCCGUGCCAGCAGCCGCGGUAAUUC